UACGGAGGGGACUAGCGUUGUUCGGAAUUACUGGGCGUAAAGCGCACGUAGGCGGAUUUGUAAGUCUGUUGUGAAAGCCCCGGGCUCAACCUGGGAAUGGCAAUGGAUACUGGCAAGCUAGAGUGUGGUAGAGGGUAGUGGAAUUCCCGGUGUAGCGGUGAAAUGCGUAGAGAUCGGGAGGAACACCAGUGGCGAAGGCGGCUACCUGGACCAGCACUGACACUGAGGCACGAAAGCGUGGGGAGCAAACAGG
rnacentral:rRNA from 1 species